AAGAACGCAUUCGGGUGUUCGGCUCUUGCUUUGCCUGCUCCCACAGCGCCGUCGUCUUCGGCCGCGCUGGAAGACGGGCGAAGCAGAGUUGAUCUGAGAAAUACCGGCGAACUUGAUCUGGAUAAUACCAGCGAAAGGACAUGCUUCUUUGAUUCCC
rnacentral:ncRNA from 1 species